GUAAACAUUAAAACACAUUGAUUAAUUGUGUCAAUCUCACGGUUGCUGUACUGCACAACAAAAAACAUUAAACUGAAAUAUCUAUUAAUUCAAAUGUGAAUGUUGAUUUUCACAAUAAAGGAAUCAGGUACAUGUAACAAAGAAGCCACUACGGACAUCAUUUCAUCGCAUAUGGAAUUGGAACCCCAUUACACUGAAAUUGCAACGCAGACCAAGAAGAUAUUUAAAGAAGAUGCCUUCACGCAGACUGAAGACAACUUUACAGAGACUGCUCUGAUCAUAUAUCCAGAAGCUGCUGCCAAAGAACAUUUUUUCGUUAAAGAACAUUUAGAAGCAGUAAUGGAAAAAGAAUCUGAGUUUCUGAUUAUUGGUGAACCUGUUUGCAAAGAGACUGCAAAUGAGAAGAGGAUGGAUUCCCAGACAAACCUGAUUGUUUUCAGUGAGGUGGUCAUCGUGGAGAGCAAUGGGCUGCAGGAGAAGGAGGUGCACGGAGCAGAGAGCAUGGAAGUCUCAGAGGAGCUGGAAGUCAGCGAAAUCAAAACAGAAAUGGUUGUUGAUCAGUUAACCAAUGUCCUUGAGAUAAGAAACACUGAACCAUUGCAAGGAAAUGUCACAAAAGAAUCAGUUCAAGAAGAACUAGGAACCUGCUACAAAGAAGGAGAUCCCCUUUCCAAACAUGCCUCAGCAGAAGUAGCGCCCAGAAAGCUUCCAGAAAAUACUGAUUGUACUCUGGCUGUAUAUGAGGCUGAUUUGGUGUCCACUGAUGACAUGCCGGUCAAAAUGUCAGCAGAAGCCAUAGCUCAUAGAGAUCUAAUUGAGUGCAAAACUGAAGAAACUGAAACUGUUCAUAUUCAAGAAUCUGAAACAGAGCCGAAAGGAUUGGGCCCUGCAUGUGCAACUGAGUUUUCCACAGAAGAAGCUAGAGAUGGUUCCACUCUCAAAACCGAAGUUGUCCAUUCUACUCUUCGGGUUAUGAUGGACAGCGAUGACUCCCCGGGAAAUCUGCCAGUUAUUCAAUUGAUGGAAAACAAUUCUGAUAUUUUACCUGCAAUUCCAGAACCUACAGUGACUCGAGUUCCUGCAGGAGAAAUUCAGGUUCCUGAGUGUCAGCAGGAAACGCCAAUCAAGGACAGUACUCCUCUUGAAGAAGUUAUCCAUGAGAAUGUUGACACAGAAAGACUAGUGGAUUGGCUUAAUCCCUCAAACGGAAAUAACCUUGAAGAAGAAGAGACUUCAGCUGAAAAGAUGAGUGUGGCGGUCAUGGAUGUGCCAUCACAAAUAUGGAAGCCUUUCGUUCCAGAUGACAAAGACCUAGAAUUCCAACCUCGCCCAGAAUCCUUCCUCAAAGAACCUUUGACUGAAAACGUUACUACAGUAGAAGAAGAGAUUAAAGAUGACAAGAGGAUGGAUUCCAAGACAAACCAGAUUGUAUUCAGUGAAGUGGUCAUCGUGGAGAGCAAUGGGCUGCAGGAGAAGGAGGUGCACGGAGUGGAGAGCAUGGACGUCUCAGUGGAGCAUGAAGUCAGAGAAAUCAAAACGAACAUGGUUGUUGAUCAGGUAACCAAUGUCCUUCAGAUGAAAAAUACUGAACCUGUGCAAGUAAAUGCCACAAAAGAAUCCAUUCUAGAAGAACCGGAAACCUUCUAUCAAGAAGGAGAUUCCCUUUCCAAACAUGCCUCAGCAGAAGUAGUGCCCAGAAAGCUUCUAGAAAAUACUGAUUGUACUCUGGCUGUAUAUGAGGCUGAUUUAGUGUCCACUGAUGACAUGCCAGUCAAAAUGUCAGCACAAGCCAUAGCUCAUAGAGUUCUAAUUGAGUGCAAAACUGAAGAAACUGAAACUGUUCAUAUUCAAGAAUCUGAAACAGAGCCGAAAAGAUCAGGCCCUGCAUGUGCAACUGAGUUUUCCACAGAAGAAGCUAGAGAUGAUUCCACUCUCAAAACCGAAGUUGUCCAUUCUACUCUUCGGGUUGUGACGGACAGCGAUGACUCCCCGGGAAAUCUGCCAGUUAUUCAAAUGAUGGAAAACAAUUCUGAUAUUUUACCUGCAAUUCCAGAACCUACAGUGACUCGAGUUCCUGCAGGAGAAAUUCAGGUUCCUGAGUGUCAGCAGGAAACGCCAAUCAAGGACAGUACUCCUCUUGAAGAAGUUAUCCAUGAGAAUGUUGACACAGAAAGACUAGUGGAUUGGCUUAAUCCCUCAAACGGAAAUAACCUUGAAGAAGAAGAGACUUCAGCUGAAAAGAUGAGUGUGGCGGUCAUGGAUGUGCCAUCACAAAUAUGGAAGCCUUUCGUUCCAGAUGACAAAGACCUAGAAUUCCAACCUCGCCCAGAAUCCUUCCUCAAAGAACCUUUGACUGAAAACGUUACUUCAGUAGAAGAAGAGAUUAAAGAUGACAAGAGGAUGGAUUCCAAGACAAACCAGAUUGUAUUCAGUGAAGUGGUCAUCGUGGAGAGCAAUGGGCUGCAGGAGAAGGAGGUGCACGGAGUGGAGAGCAUGGACGUCUCAGUGGAGCAUGAAGUCAGAGAAAUCAAAACGAACAUGGUUGUUGAUCAGGUAACCAAUGUCCUUGAGAUGAAAAAUACUGAACCUGUGCAAGUAAAUGCCACAAAAGAAUCCAUUCUAGAAGAACCGGAAACCUUCUAUCAAGAAGGAGAUUCCCUUUCCAAACAUGCCUCAGCAGAAGUAGCGCCCAGAAAGCUUCUAGAAAAUACUGAUUGUACUCUGGCUGUAUAUGAGGCUGAUUUAGCGUCCACUGAUGACAUGCCAGUCAAAAUGUCAGCACAAGCCAUAGCUCAUAGAGUUCUAAUUGAGUGCAAAACUGAAGAAACUGAAACUGUUCAUAUUCAAGAAUCUGAAACAGAGCCGAAAAGAUCAGGCCCUGCAUGUGCAACUGAGUUUUCCACAGAAGAAGCUAGAGAUGGUUCCACUCUCAAAACCGAAGUUGUCCAUUCUACUCUUCGGGUUGUGACGGACAGCGAUGACUCCCCGGGAAAUCUGCCAGUUAUUCAAAUGAUGGAAAACAAUUCUGAUAUUUUACCUGCAAUUCCAGAACCUACAGUGACUCGAGUUCCUGCAGGAGAAAUUCAGGUUCCUGAGUGUCAGCAGGAAACGCCAAUCAAGGACAGUACUCCUCUUGAAGAAGUUAUCCAUGAGAAUGUUGACACAGAAAGACUAGUGGAUUGGCUUAAUCCCUCAAAGGGAAAUAACCUUGAAGAAGAAGAGACCUCAACUGAAAAGAUGAGUGUGGUGGUCAUGGAUGUGCCAUCAGAAAUAUGGGAGCCUUUCGUUCCAGAUGACAAAGACCUAGAAUUCCAAACUCACCCGGACUCCUUCCUCAAAGAACUUUUGACUGAAAACGUUACUACAGAGGAAGAAGAGAUUAAAGAUGACAAGAGGAUGGAUUCCAAGACAAACCAGAUUGUAUUCAGUGAAGUGGUCAACGUGGAGAGCAAUGGGCUGCAGGAGAAGGAGGUGCACGGAGUGGAGCAUGAAGUCAGCGAAAUCAAAACAACCAUGGUUGUUGAUCAGGUAACCAAUGUCCUUGAGAUGAAAAAUACUGAACCUGUGCAAGUAAAUGCCACAAAAGAAUCCAUUCUAGAAGAACUGGAAACCUUCUAUCAAGAAGGAGAUUCCCUUUCCAAACAUGCCUCAGUAGAAGUAGCUCCCAGAAAGCUUCCAGAAAAUACUGAUUGUACUCUGGCUGUAUAUGAGGCUGAUUGUAUUCUGGCUGUAUAUGAGGCUGAUUUAGUGUCCACUGAUGACAUGCCAGUCAAAAUGUCAGCAGAAGCCAUAGCUCAUAGAGUACUAAUUGAGUGCAAAACUGAAGAAACUGAAACUGUUCAUAUUCAAGAAUCUCAAACAGAGCCGAAAGGAUCAGGCCCUGCAUGUGCAAAUGAGUUUUCCACAGAAGAAGCUAGAGAUGGUUCCACUCUCAAAACCGAAGUUGUCCAUUCUACUCUUCGGGUUGUGACGGACAGCGAUGACUCCCCGGGAAGUCUGCCAGUUAUUCAAAUGAUGGAAAACAAUUCUGAUAUUUUACCUACAAUUCCAGAACCUACAGUGACUCGAGUUCCUGCAGGAGAAAUUCAGGUUCCUGAGUGUCAGCAGGAAACGCCAAUCAAGGACAGUACUCCUCUUGAAGAAGUUAUCCAUGAGAAUGUUGACACAGAAAGACUAGUGGAUUGGCUUAAUCCCUCAAACGGAAAUAACCUUGAAGAAGAAGAGACUUCAGCUGAAAAGAUGAGUGUGGCGGUCAUGGAUGUGCCAUCACAAAUAUGGGAGCCUUUCUUUCCAGAUGACAAAGACCUAGAAUUCCAACCUCGCCCAGAAUCCUUCCUCAAAGAACCUUUGACGGCAAGGAUUACUACAGAGGAAGAAGAGAUUGCCAUACCUGAUAAGUCUUUUCCAAUGACAGAACAACAAGAAUACAAUCCUGUUAUCUAUGCUUUCAACACUAAUAAUCAACACCUGAUUGCUGAAGUGGUACCGGAGUCUGCCAUCCAUUCUCUCAUUAAUUAUUUUGAAGGUAUUGUCCCUGCUGGACCUUCUGUUGAAGCCAACAUAUGUUGUCUUCAAGUUGUGGAAAAGACACUCAGUGCUACACAUGUGAUGCCUCUUUUUGGGGACUUUGACCCUCUACUUGACAAUGUCAUCUCGCCCAAAGAAGAGUCUGUUGCCGAAAAGGUUUUAGAAGCAGCAAUUGAUGCCAUGUCUAAUGAACUCAUCAUUGUCGCCGAAAGUUCUGAUGAAUAAUCCAGCAGAAAUGAACCCCCCAAUGUACUAUUGGAAGGACUCAUGGAGUCCAGCCUUCAAGAUCUUGAAAAGGUACAACUGGAGGAUACCAGCCCUGAGGAUUUGUUAAUGGAUUGCAUUGAACAAAGGUUGAAUCUUAAAGACACAAAAAUGACUGAGGCAGCCGACCAGUUCCCUGAAAUACCGAAACAAUGUUCGCAAGACACUGUUAAUAUCUUCGUUGAUGAAUAGCUACAGGUCAUGAUUAACGGAUAUCAAGAGAAUGUAACCCAAGAGAUAUCAAACGUUGAUGAGGAUUCUAAAAAAUUAAAGGAAGAACCGCUGAUUUAAUGUCUCCCACUGAUGAGAAAACGUUAGAACCGAGUGCAAACCCUGUUGGAGAAGAAUCGCAAAUUCCCAAGUGGAUUACAGCGCAUGCUGUGAAUGACAUGGAAGAAAUAAACAUUUCCACGGAUGCUGCUGAAACCAAAAAACACUUUUGUUCCUUUGGGUGAUCCAGUUAUGGAGAUGGAGCCACUAGAGGGGGCACACCGGGCAAUUGAACUCAAUGAAAUAGAUAGUAGAUAGAUAGUACUAAAGAAUAUGAACGCAUUGAAGUGACAAUGGAACAUAGGGCAUUACCGCUAGAAUGUGAAGAACCAAACAAUACAUACACAGUCAACACUUUGGAUGACAGUGAACAAAACGUGUCUGUUUUAUUGAAGGGGAUGCAGUCAUGCUGACAACAUCAACUGUGGAAGAGUCAGCAUCAAAUCUUGAAAUUGUUGAAACAUCUUCAUUCCUUGUCCUGUUAUGAUGAAUGUGAAGCUAAAUGAAGAUGAGAAAUAGCAAAUACUUUAUAAUAUAAUCAAGCUAUUCAUUUGCUCCUGUUUUAUGUCAGUUAUGACGUUUACAUUGUAGAAUGUCUGAUUUGCAUUUUUAAACAAUGAUUUCUGUUUACAUUAGAAAGGGCGGAUAGCUCUCCAUUAUAAUGUAGUGUCAGGCAAUGUAGCAAUUUUCAAUAAAAAUCUAAGAACUGUUGGUGAGAUGGCUCCUUUUUUGUUGUUACUAUUAUUUUAACAUUUCACAUUAUUUAAAAUUGUGACAACUGUGCAAUACAUAAACGUGUGCUAUUAAAGUCUGAAUAGUUAACGUCAACAACGUUAAUGUAGUAACAUUCACUCAUUGGGGAAAACUUUACAAUAUGUAAAGAGUCUUGUUAUUACAACACAGGAAGGGACCAAAUAUUUCUGACAUUUCUCAGAGCAUAUCGCCUAGGCAUUGUUGAAUAUCAAUGAGUGUGUGUGUGUGGAGGGGGGGCACGGGCAUUAAUAAAAGGGUGAUUGUUGCCAUGGGCCUGAGUAGGCAGAGGCAUGGUUGGAAUUGUGCUCCCAUCUCAAUGCUGCGAUUAAACACACUCACUGCUUGCAUAUCAGCUUCACUUCUACUUCUACUUCUCAAAGGCAAAUUCUUUGUGGCAUAUAGGAGCAAGCCGACACAGCGAAGAAUCAAGACUCAGAGACGCUUGAGGAGCCAAAAAGUGUGACUUUAGAUCUUAAACUAGCAGCAGGACAAACUGAUAACGACGAUCAAAAGAGUCAACCAGAGGAGAAAAAAGAGGAGAGCGACCAGAAUCCAGUUAUGAACUUCUUCAAAACACUAAUAUAUUUUUUCUUGUAAUACAGGUGACUCCUACUAAAUCGCAAAAAAAGGAAACAGCUACCCCUGAUGUUACAAAAGAUCAGCCCCCGAAGGAGACUCCGCCAACAGUAGCCUCUACAACUGUCGCACAAGUACCUGAGCCUCCGGCUGCAGCCAAAGGAAUGUCUAUCCCACCUCCCCCUCCUCCAGAACCGCC